rnacentral:rRNA from 1 species
UACGUAGGGGGGCUAGCGUUGUCCGGAAUCAUUGGGCGUAAAGAGCGUGUAGGCGGCUUUACAGGUCCGUUGUGAAAACUCGAGGCUCAACCUCGAGACGCCGGUGGAAACCGUAAGGCUAGAGUCCGGAAGAGGAGAGUGGAAUUCCUGGUGUAGCGGUGAAUGCGCAGAUAUCAGGAGGAACACCCGUGGCGAAAGCGGCUCUCUGGGACGGUACUGACGCUGAGACGCGAAAGCGUGGGGAGCAAACAGG